UACAGAGGGGGCAAGCGUUGUUCGGAAUUACUGGGCGUAAAGGGCGCGUAAGCGGCCUGCUAAGUCGAACGUGAAAUCCCCGGGCUCAACCUGGGAACUGCAUCCGAAACUGCCUUGCUCGAGUAUGGGAGAGGGAAGUGGAAUUUCCGGUGUAGCGGUGAAAUGCGUAGAUAUCGGAAGGAACAUCAGUGGCGAAGGCGACUUCCUGGACUAAUACUGACGCUCAGGUGCGAAAGCGUGGGGAGCAAACAGG
rnacentral:rRNA from 1 species